ensembl:miRNA MIR4757 microRNA 4757
UUCCAGCCCGAGGCCUCUGUGACGUCACGGUGUCUGCGGGAGGAGACCAUGACGUCACAGAGGCUUCGCGCUCUGAG